GAUGAACGCUAGCGGCAGGCUUAACACAUGCAAGUCGAGGGGUAUUGGUUUUCGGACCAAGAGACCGGCGCACGGGUGCGUAACGCGUAUGCAAUCUACCUUUUGCAGAGGGAUAGCCCCAGAGAAAUUUGGAUUAAUACCUCAUAGUAUAGUACUUUGGCAUCAAGGAACUAUUAAAGUCACAACGGCAAAGAUGAGCAUGCGUCCCAUUAGCUAGUUGGUAAGGUAACGGCUUACCAAGGCUACGAUGGGUAGGGGUUCUGAGAGGGAGAUCCCCCACACUGGUACUGAGACACGGACCAGACUCCUACGGGAGGCAGCAGUGAGGAAUAUUGGACAAUGGGCGCGAGCCUGAUCCAGCCAUGCCGCGUGCAGGAUGACGGUCCUAUGGAUUGUAAACUGCUUUUUAUACAGGAAGAAACACUCCGACGUGUCGGAGCUUGACGGUACUGUAAGAAUAAGGAUCGGCUAACUCCGUGCCAGCAGCCG
rnacentral:rRNA from 1 species